rnacentral:lncRNA from 1 species
CUUGUAUAAAAAUUCACACAAAGUUGCUAGAGAGCAUACAAGUUCCAAAACUGUCCUGGGUCUGUGGUACAUUCAGUUUUCUAAGGGUGCACUCAGAUCAGUGUAACAGGCAGACAUGAUGUGCUAGCUCAUUCUCUUUGGUAAACCUAUGCUCCUUACUUACUCCUCACAGUAUCGCUCUGAUAUCCACUUUGUGCAGGGUCUGCGCUUCCUGGGAUGUCAGACAUUAAGGCUGGAUCUACAAGAGACAAAGACUGCCCACAGCAGUGACAGCCCUUGGGCCCUCACCCCCCACUUCAGAAUGACCCAGUGACCUCCAACUAGGGGUCUCCAGGUCCCUCUGGAUCAGGGCCACACUCCACUUUCUGGAAAGCAGGACAAUUUUCACAUGGCUUGGAAUCCUCUCGGUUACAUCCUCAAGACCAGAACAAAUCCCAUGGAAUUCUCUCCAACCAGUGGAAGCAGUGAGAGAGUGCCACAGCCAUCUUUGGGGUAGCGUGUGUGUGUGUGUGUGUGUGUGUGUGUGUGUGUGUAACUAAGGCAUUAGAGAGAGGCCAAGUGAGGGGGGAAGGGGACUCUUCUGGCUGCCCAUUACCUUCUUCCUGGGCACAAGAAGGUUGCCUUGUUCUCCGCGGGGCCCCUCCCCU